CAAUAGCGUAUAUUAAAGUUGUUGCAGUUAAAAAGCUCGUAGUUGGAUUUGUGGCGUACGGUGGGUUCCGGGCACUUGUUGUCUGAGUAACUUGCUGUUGCCAUCCUCGGGUGGAACCUGUGUGGCAUUAGGUUGUCGUGCAGGGGAUGCCCAUCAUUUACUGUGAAAAAAUUAGAGUGUUCAAAGCAGGCUUAUGCCGUUGAAUAUAUUAGCAUGGAAUAAUGAGAUAGGACUUUUUUGCUAUUUUGUUGGUUUGCGCAAAGAGGUAAUGAUUAAUAGGGACAGUUGGGGGUAUUCGUAUUCCAUUGUCAGAGGUGAAAUUCUUGGAUUUUUGGAAGACGAACUACUGCGAAAGCAUUUACCAAGGAUGUUUUCAUUAA
rnacentral:rRNA from 1 species